UAGAAGUGGCAUGCAUGUUCAGUGGUGGUUUUUUUCCGGGAGGUGGAGGCUUUCGUAGAUCCACCGCCGCCGGCUCUAGUUCCCGGGAAGGGAGUCUUCAUUAGAUUUGCCUUCGCCGGCUCUAGUUUUGGAGAGCGGAGGCUAGCACAGCUCCGCGCUGCCACUUAGGAUCCCGCGGUUCUUUGGGAAAAGUUUUCUAGUUUAGUUUUGUUUCAUGGUCGGCGUAGUUGUCGGUAAGUCUUGGGUGGGGUCACUGCGGUUGAGUUCUUGGUAGAAGACAAGGGUCGCCGGUGAGGUGAUGAUUCACAAGGAAAGGAAGAGAUGGUGUCUUGGGUCGCGUGUCUUGGGUUUGAAGUAUGAUAAAGGCGGAGGAGAUCUCGAAGAUCGAUUGAUCUCUCCGGCGGGAUGACACGGCGGUGAAGUAGGGAUUUGCGUUUGUUUGGAGGCUUGUCUGGUUUCGAGCUCCGUCUAACAAGGUUCUCGCGGGUGGUUGUUUCCGGUGGCGUAAAGGCGGAGGUGAUCAAGUCGAGGCGGUGUCGACGUGUUUCGCGUCAAUGGAGCAGAUCACUCCACGUGUCGAGCCGCCUCCUUGAUGCGCUUGCCAGCGGGCCGGGUGGUUUCUUAGGGUGGGCCGAGGGCCUGUUUUAGUUUUUAUGUUGCCCCAGGGGUUUGGGCUUGCGUUUGUUUUCGUUGUAAUCGGGCUUCGGCCUUGUUUGGGCUUGGCCCUUUCUUCUUAUAAUAUCAAAACUUUGGCGGAAAAAAAAAAAAAAAAAAAAAAAAACUAAUGAUACAUAUACAUGUCUCAAAACACGAUACAAAUUAACAGAAAUAAGAAACAUAAAAUAUUUAUAACUCUUAUUCCCGUGAUUCAUCUAAUUAAUGUGUUGUCAUAAGAGAUUGUAAUUACUCCUCAUGCUUUUGGGCCAUGACGACAUUCCUCAUGCUCGUUCGAGAAAGUCUCAUAUGAGUAAUACUCAGAUUUUAAAUCAUAACUAACGAAAAGCGUAGACGAAGUUCAAUAAUACCUGGUUUUGCAGUUGUU
rnacentral:lncRNA from 1 species